rnacentral:rRNA from 1 species
UCAGGAUGAACGCUGGCGGUCUGCUUAACACAUGCAAGUCGAACGCAACCUUCGGGUUGAGUGGCGGACGGGUGAGUAACGCGUGAGAAUCUGCCUUGGGGUCGGGGACAACCACUGGAAACGGUGGCUAAUACCGGAUAAGCCUUUGGGUAAAAAAUUUAUUGCCCCAAGAGGAGCUCGCGUCUGAUUAGCUAGUUGGUGAGGUAAAAGCUCACCAAGGCAGCGAUCAGUAGCUGGUCUGAGAGGACGAUCAGCCACACUGGGACUGAGACACGGCCCAGACUCCUACGGGAGGCAGCAGUGGGGAAUUUUCCGCAAUGGGCGAAAGCCUGACGGAGCAAGACCGCGUGAGGGAGGAAGGCUCUUGGGUUGUAAACCUCUUUUCUCAGGGAAGAAGCUCUGACGGUACCUGAGGAAUCAGCCUCGGCUAACUCCGUGCCAGCAGCCGCGGUAAUACGGAGGAGGCAAGCGUUAUCCGGAAUUAUUGGGCGUAAAGCGUCCGCAGGUGGCGAUUCAAGUCUGCUGUCAAAGCACGGGGCUUAACUCCGUUAAGGCAGUGGAAACUGAAUAGCUAGAGUGCCGUAGGGGUAGAGGGAAUUCCCGGUGUAGCGGUGAAAUGCGUAGAGAUCGGGAAGAACAUCGGUGGCGAAAGCGCUCUACUGGACGGCAACUGACACUCAGGGACGAAAGCUAGGGGAGCGAAUGGGAUUAGAUACCCCAGUAGUCCUAGCUGUAAACGAUGGAUACUAGGUGUAGCUUGUAUCGACCCGAGCUGUGCCGAAGCUAACGCGUUAAGUAUCCCGCCUGGGGAGUACGCACGCAAGUGUGAAACUCAGAGGAAUUGACGGGGGCCCGCACAAGCGGUGGACGUAUGUGGUUUAAUUCGAUGCAAC